ACACAUAUGCAUACAGAUGUUUGACAACUUAAAUUCGUGUUGUUUGCGUGAUAUCAUGACAUUAAUAAAUAUACAAUAUGAUACAUAAAGGGCAGCUGAUAACAGCUCGACACUCCUACAUUCGGGAAUUUGAAACGAAAUAUCAUUGUGGUAUUUAGUAUCAUAUAUGUAUAUGCAAGACACAAGUCCUGUUGACUGUAAAUGGUGUUUUGUCGUUCAAAGGAAUGGCAAAUGAAGAAAAAAAUACAAUACUGUAUGGCGCAAUGAUGAAAUUAACAUUGUGAAGGACCGGGCACGUACGUUGCGCGUUAAGUGUUUAAAACACGGAACUUUAAUUAAGCGGUAAUAAAUAAUUUGCUUGUUAUGCAAUCCAUUUAAUUGGGAAAAAAAUGACAUUACGAAAUAAUCAAAGUGAAGAAAUACUUAUUCAAAUCUUCUUGAAUGAUGCUAUGCAAAAAUAAUUUAAAGGGUAAACUUGAAACACAGUUUUUAAGUGUUAACUUUUAAAAAACAUAUUUACUUUUAACCGAAAUAGCAACUUUACAAGAAGGAAAUUUUAUUUACAUGAAGAAAUAGUUAUUGAAAUCUACUUGACAUUGUUUUUUCUAUUGCGUUAUCGCAACUUUGCGGUCUUUUUAUCAAUUUGUAAACACAUGUCAAAGGACACGACUUCAUCACGGAUUGUAUAAAUUUAAAAUUGUCGUCUGCAGUCAGUUAGUGACUGGAUUAAUUAUUUAUUAACUUAUCAGAGAAUUCAGCCACUGUGUUUGGAUCUGGAGUUACACUCACACAUACAGAAUGGUAUUGAAACAAUGUGGAAAAAGAUAUAUUAACAUUACGGGCAAACUUGUGUUUUUUGCAACCUUAUUUAUUCUUAUGAUCCAACUCGCAUAUCUUCAUACCUAUAAAACGGAAAAAAAUCGAGCAGAUCUGACAAGACUUUUAGCUGUGAAACCGGAAGAAAAGG